UCUCCUACGGGAGGCAGCAGUGAGGAAUAUUGGUCAAUGGGAGGAAUCCUGAACCAGCCAUGCCGCGUGCAGGACGACGGCUCUACGAGUUGUAAACUGCUUUUGUACCGGGGUAAAAUACCUUACGAGUAGGGUUUUGAAAGUACGGUACGAAUAAGGAUCGGCUAACUCCGUGACAGCAGCCGCGGUAAUACGGUGGGUGCGAGCGUUAAUCGGAAUUACUGGGCGUAAAGCGCUCAUCGGCGGUAUGUUAA
rnacentral:rRNA from 1 species